rnacentral:rRNA from 1 species
AUUGAACGCUAGCGGGAUGCUUUACACAUGCAAGUCGAACGAGUGGCGGACGGGUGAGUAAUAUAUCGGAACGUGCCCAGUAGCGGGGGAUAACUACUCGAAAAGUGGCUAAUACCGCAUACUAUUGGAGCGGCCGAUAUCGGAUUAGCUAGUUGGUGGGGUAAAGGCUCACCAAGGCAACGAUCCGUAGCUGGUUUGAGAGGACGACCAGCCACAAUGGGACUGAGACAAGGCCCAGAAUCCUACGGGAGGGAGCAGGGGGGAAAUUUGGACAAAGGGGGAAAACCCUAUCCAGCCAUCCCGCGGGGAUGAUGAAGGCCUUCGGGGUGGAAAAGAAUUUCAGGGGGGAGACGUUACCCGCAGAAGAAGCACCGGCUAACUCCGUGCCAGCAGCCGCGGUAAUUC